GAGAUACUGGUCAAGCCUACCACGGGAGAUGGCAACCAUGGCUUUGCACUUCAGUGCGAGUUAAAUUAAUAAAUUAGUGCUUCAAAAGUUCCACAACCGUAACAAGCUCUGUAACAGUUCAAGGACGGAUCACCAUGGGCUGUACGUGACCUGACUUGGCCAAACUUGGAAGCUGUAUUAGCAGAGGCAAGGUGAAGUGGUCGAGCACAAGAUGUAGCGACAAGCGGGUGCGUUCCCGUGAAACUGAAACUGGCAGUUGUGCUCGCCUCACGCAUGCCUGCCCAAAUUGUCUUGAACUUUUUGUACGCGAGCACAAAUCAACGGAAGAGAGACUGAUCCCCGCUGUUUGCCAAGACCUUAUUCCCCUCCCCCACCUCCCCCAACCAAAUGUGAGUGGUGGCUGGCAGCCGUGCUACAAUACGGCCUUGACACUUUGAUGCUGGGGUUGUUGAUAAGGGAGGUUUCGUCUGGGCAGUGAGGACACAGCCAUCCGCACAUUUCGAGAGAUGCUAUCCAUCUCAAGGCUGGACAUGAUAAAGCACAAGGAAUACAGAAGAGGGUAUUUGGGAACUCAAGCUGAAGGCAACACUGACGGAAAGUGCAAGACACCCAUUCAUAAGAGCAAGGGCUGCACAUGGAGUAAAAGUGGUUUCACUUGAAUUUAAGCUAAACAAUGUGUGGGAUGUAAUGCUGAAAAACACUAUACAAUACUUGUCAAUGUUUUUUUUUUUCAGUGGUAGUGUGUUGUUGACAAAAUGACAAUUUAUUCAGACUGUAAUGUGGCCUAUUAAAAGAUUAUUAAAGUUUACAGCAUGGGACUUA